rnacentral:tRNA from 1 species
AGAAAAAUGGUGUCAUGGUUAGCACUCUGGACUCUGAAUCCGGUGAUCCGAGUUCAAAUCUCAGUGGGACAA